GAGACUUAACCGAAACAAGAUCUCAUCUUCAGUUUUGCUUUGCUCUGGGGUCGCAGGGGAAAGUGCGGGAACCUUUUGAAAACAGCAACCAAGAGAAUUGUCCAUUUGCGGUUUAAGCUGCAACUUUUGUUCCAGCCACACAGAGACUACCACAGCUCUGGUGUCAGGAGUCAACAACAGGCGCAGUUAGACGAGGUCAUGCUGUCAGAACAUCUGGGGAACUUGAACAGCUUUGGAUCGGUUGCAGAGUCAGCAAGACAACAUUUGGUUGUGUCUGCCAAUCGUCUCCUGCGGUUUGAGGAUGAAACAGAAAAAGAGGUGGAGACUCGUUAUUUGGAACGUUGGAGCCAAAGGAGACAGGAAAUGCAGCGGAGAGCAGGAGUCCUGGUGUCCAAACCCGACUUAGAGAGUUUGAAAGCAGGACUGGAGCUCAGACAGGGGAAGUCUCCUGCUGUCGGGAGGCUGAGAGGACAAACAGUGAUGAGAGAAUUGGAGAGACAGAAGAGCCUAAACAGGAAGCAACUGAGGCUGCGGACAGAGCCGCUCAGAGAGACCUACAUCGGCUGUGUCACGCCUUCUGACACAGGGAGACAAGGAGAAAAGACUUGUCGGGAAUCGUGUGCCCAAGUGAGACAAAGGACCACUCACAGUGAAAUGUUUGGAUCUCCGCAGACCGCCUCACAACCUCUUCUACUCAUAGAUCCACCAACAGGUUCUGAAUCCUCCUGCAGUGAUGCUCCACACGUUCAUGUUUCAUGCUCUCCCUCAUUCAGACGACCUUUGUCUUUAUCCAGUCCUUCUAAAACAUCAGUGAUGCCACAGAGGAACGCGUCCAAUUCAAGGAAGCAGGGAAAGGACUUGAACCAGAAUCAAGACAGACAAAGGACACCUUCCUGUCAAAGGGUCCACAGACAUCUUGGAACCGGGCCAGAGCUCAUGGAGAAGGUCCCUUUUCUGGAGAAGAAAAGCCGUGAACCGAACCCUGCUGCCAGACCCUCCUCAUCAGGAACGAGUUUGGAGAUGAAAGCAGGUAAUCAAACUCCUCCUGCUCUGGCCAUCAGGGACGGAUCCUCCACGAAAUCACUGAGAUCCGAGUUUCCCACAGAGGAGGACUCACAUUCUGAGCGCAGACAGAGCAGGAGUCGAACCCGCAGUCUGGAUCGGCUUCCUUCAAAGACCCAACCUCCCGUCAGCGGUCCAACCCAUUUAGGAGACCUGAGGUCCUGCGGCUUUCUGAAGACCCCCCCCUCUGUUCGGUGGUUCUGUGAGGUAUGUCUGCAACUGACUCCCAACAACAGCUCGACGGAGGUUUCAGUCUGACUGUCUGUCUGCUUCUCUGCAGGGCUCAAACAUCUUCCCAAUGACCAAGUUCUCCUCUGUUUUCAAUGUUUGGUCAGAACAGAACUGCUCCACUGACGGCAGAUCAGCUGAUGACCACUGAGCACUUCCUGUUAACCCUUUAACAGAGCAGUUCCGGUCUUUAUGUUCUUUGAUAUACUGUAGAUUGUGAAUGAGAAAAGCGGCUAAUGCCGGAGUCAUAAAUAAACGUUGUGAAAUGUUCGUAUUAAUUCGAUUUUGACUUUGUGAAAUCUGAGACGUCAUAUCCGGCGUUUAAAAUCCAGGGCACUAGAUAGUUCUGCACUAUAUAGUUUUUUAGUAGUUAGAGGGGAAUUCAGACACAACCAUAGAGAUUGAAGUUGUUUCUUACUCUGUUUACAUUCCCAUAAUGCUGCUUUGAUCCAGUUGUUCUGAUCCGAGCAUGGAGUCUAUUCAGACUGAGGAAACUCGGAGUGAACCUGAGCUCAGUCCGAUUGGAAACGAAUCGAAACUACCUCAAACGAUGGGUCCGAGAGCGGCUCCUGGUCCCGCAUCAGGGUCCGCUUGGGUGUAAUCAUGCUGAAAACAAACUGAUUCACUUUAAGCAAACCAAAUGUGACAUCCUAAAUGUUGAUAAAAUACAUAAAAAACCUUUAAAAUAUUGAAAUCGUGUAACACAAGAUAGAUAGAGGAUUUUGUCUGCAGAACAAAGCCAGAGAAGUGAAGAACGCCACCGUGAGUCUAGAACAGAACAUAAACAUUCUGAAAUUGUAUUUCUAUACCGGGCAAUCCUCUGCCGAGGUUUGGGUUUGACGGUGGCAUAAAGGAUUGAUGCUUGUCAGAUUGCAAGUGUGAAGUUCAGUGAUGGGAAAACUGACUGACUGGAAGAAGAAUCCUGUCAGUCAUCUACUGACCCAGAAGCUGCAGGAUGAGCACACCAAAACUCUUCAAAACAUGAGAUCUUGCAAGUCUGUUCCAGAACUGAACGAGCAGCACAUUUAUCUGUAUCUCAUUAGUGUUUGUUUUUAAUCUGUACAUAUUCAUAAAUGGGUUUAUUUUUGUGUUUUUGGGGAUUUUAUGCUCACAGAAACACCUAACAGUCCCAC
ensembl:lncRNA